rnacentral:tRNA from 1 species
GCGGACGUGGUGGAAUUGGAAUACACGUACGGCUUAGGACCGUAUCCCGCAAGGGGUGAGAGUUCGACUCUCUCCGUCCGCA